rnacentral:rRNA from 1 species
AGGUCCAGCCGUCCCAGUGACAAAGUUCAACGGCCGCGGUACCCUAACCGUGCGAAGGUAGCAUAAUCACUUGUUCUUUAAAUAGGGACUAGUAUCAACGGCACCACGAGGGUUAUACUGUCUCCUUUCUCCAAUCAGUGAAACUGAUCUCCCCGUGAAGAAGCGGGGAUAAUUUUAUAAGACGAGAAGACCCCAUGGAGCUUCAAACCUUCAGCAACUUUUAACGUAUAGACCCUAAUAUCUUAAAAGCUAUGUAAAACGGUUUUGGGUUGGGGUGACCACGGAGUAAAAAUUAACCUCCAUGACGUACAGAACUAAACCUUUAUCUAAGAGCUACUACUCUAAGAAUCAGUAAACUGACGUAAAAUGACCCGAUUAUCGAUCAACGAACCAAGUUACCCUGGGGAUAACAGCGCAAUCCACUUUAAGAGCUCAUAUCGACAAGUGGGUUUACGACCUCGAUGUUGGAUCAGGGUAUCCCGGUGGUGCAGCCGCU